UGAGAGGGUCAGCAUGCUGGUGAUCCUGCUCAACUGUGUGACGCUGGGCAUGUUCCACCCCUGCGAGGACAUCGCCUGCGACUCGCCACGCUGCAGGAUACUCCAGAGCUUUGAUGACUUCAUCUUUGCCUUCUUUGCUGUGGAAAUGAUCGUCAAAAUGAUUGCGCUGGGGAUUUUUGGGAAGAAAUGCUACCUGGGAGACACAUGGAACCGCCUGGACUUCUUCAUCGUCAUUGCAGGGAUGCUGGAGUAUUCCCUGGACCUGCAGAAUGUCAGCUUCUCAGCCGUCCGCACCGUCCGAGUCCUGCGGCCACUCAGGGCCAUUAACAGGGUCCCCAGUAUGCGCAUCCUGGUGACGCUGCUUUUGGACACACUGCCCAUGCUGGGGAAUGUCCUCCUCCUCUGCUUCUUUGUCUUCUUCAUCUUUGGCAUUGUGGGAGUCCAGCUGUGGGCAGGUUUGCUCAGGAACCGCUGCUUCCUCCCUGAGAACUUCAGCAUCCCCUACACAGUGGAUUUGGAGAGGUACUACCAGACAGAGAAUGAGGAUGAAAAUCCCUUCAUCUGCUCGCAGCCCCGGGAGAACGGGAUGCGCUACUGUCGGAGCAUCCCGACGCGGAGGGAGGAGGGUCUGGAGUGCACCCUGGAUUAUUACUCCUACAAUGACACCACCAACACGUCUUGUGUGAACUGGAACCAGUACUACACCAACUGCUCUGCUGGGGAGCACAACCCCUUCAAGGGAGCCAUCAACUUCGAUAACAUUGGCUAUGCCUGGAUUGCGAUAUUUCAGGUCAUCACGCUGGAAGGCUGGGUGGACAUCAUGUACUUUGUCAUGGAUGCACACUCCUUCUACAACUUCAUCUACUUCAUCCUCCUGAUCAUUGUGGGCUCCUUCUUCAUGAUCAACCUGUGCCUGGUGGUGAUAGCGACGCAGUUCUCCGAGACAAAGCAGCGGGAGAGCCAGCUGAUGAAGGAGCAGCGCGUGCGCUACCUGUCCAACGCCAGUACCCUGGCCAGUUUCUCAGAGCCGGGCAGCUGCUACGACGAGCUCCUCAAGUACCUGGUUUACAUUGCCCGGAAAGGCAGCAAGCAGCUGGUGAAGGCCUACAGGGCGGCAGGCGUGAGGAUGGGCUUCCUCAGCAGCCCCACGAGCAAGGCGGGUGCCGAGCAGCAUGGCAGGAAGCGCCAGAGCAGGAAGAGAUCCUCGGUGCACCACCUCAUCCACCACCACCACCACCACCACCACCACUACCACCUGGGCAAUGGGAACCUGCGAGCGCCCCGUGCCAGCCCGGAGAUCAGUGAUGUGGAGACCAGCUCGCUCCACAACGGGACCAACCGGCUGAUGCUCCCUCCCUCGGCACCCAACUCCCUGGGGGCCCCCAGUGCCUCUCCCAGCAACACCGAGUCCGUGCACAGCAUCUACCACGCCGACUGUCACUUUGAGCCGGUGCGCUGCCGGUCAUCCCUGACACAGCCGAGCCUUGGCUUGCCGAGCCCAGAAGGGAUCCCCAAAAACGUGGUGGGCAGCAAGGUGUACCCCACAGUGCACUCCAGCACCUCCCAUGAGAUGCUGAAAGAGAAGAACCUGGGGGAGGCGGCAGUGGGUGCUGGGAGCAGCACCUUGACGAGCCUCAACAUCCCGCCCGGGCCCUACAGCACCAUGCACAAGCUGCUGGAGACACAGAGCGCAGGGUUCUUUUCAGUCCAUGUUACAGAGAAAGGCGAUGGGUUUCCAGGUCCCUGCCAAAGCUCUUGCAAGAUCUCCAGCCCUUGCACCAAGCUGGAUGGUGGCUCCUGCACUCCUGAGAGCUGUCCUUACUGCCUCACGGUGCUGGCAGGCGAGGCCGAGCUGUCGGACAAUGAGACGGCCAACUCAGACAGUGAGGGAGUGUACGAGUUCACACAGGAUGCCCACUACAGGGACCAGCGGGACCCACAAAGGGGCAGAACCGGGGCCAGGAGAGCCCACCUGGCGCUGGCCUUCUGGCGUGUGGUGUGUGAGACCUUCCAGAAGAUCGUGGACAGCAAAUAUUUCGGCCGUGGGAUCAUGGUGGCCAUUCUCAUUAACACGCUCAGCAUGGGGAUCGAGUACCACGAACAGCCAGAGGAACUUACCAAUGCCCUGGAGAUCAGCAACAUUGUCUUCACAAGCCUCUUUGCCCUGGAGAUGCUGUUGAAAGUCCUUGUUUAUGGUCCUUUUGGCUACAUUAAGAAUCCAUACAACAUCUUUGAUGGGAUCAUUGUGGUGAUUAGCGUGUGGGAGAUUGUGGGCCAGCAGGGCGGGGGCCUCUCCGUGCUGCGCACCUUUCGUCUGAUGCGGGUGUUGAAGCUGGUCCGCUUCAUGCCAGCCCUGCAGCGCCAGCUCGUUGUCCUCAUGAAGACCAUGGACAACGUGGCCACCUUCUGCAUGUUGCUGAUGCUCUUCAUUUUCAUCUUUAGCAUCCUGGGCAUGCACCUCUUUGGCUGUAAGUUCGCUUCGGAGCGCGAUGGUGACACUCUGCCCGACAGGAAGAACUUCGACUCCUUGCUCUGGGCCAUCGUCACUGUUUUCCAGAUUUUGACCCAGGAAGACUGGAACAAGGUCCUUUACAAUGGCAUGGCCUCCACCUCCUCGUGGGCUGCUCUCUACUUCAUCGCUCUCAUGACAUUUGGGAAUUACGUCCUCUUUAAUCUGCUGGUGGCCAUCCUGGUAGAGGGUUUCCAGACAGAGGAGAUCUCCAAGCGAGAAGAAGCGAGUGGGCAGUUAAGCUGUAUUCAGCUGCCUGUCAACUCGUCGGGGAAAGGCAAACUGGGAGUACAAGAACAGGGUGAUGCUUCCAAGUCUGAUUCCGAGGGGGAUCUCUUCCCCCGCAGCCUGGAAGAGGAGGGAGAACUUAAGAAAAACUUGUCAAAUCCAGCCUUGAUGGCCUUGAGCGACCACCCGGAGCUGAAGACGAGUCUGACGCCUCCGCUCAUCAUCCACACGGCCGCUACGCCCAUGCCCAUGCCGAAGAACGCCGUGUUCGGGGAUGGAGCACAGGGCUACGAGUCCCGCCGGGCCAGCGGUGUCUCCACGGAGCCCGUGGCCACCUACGAGCUCAAGUCCCCGCCCAGCACCCGCAGCUCCCCGCACAGCCCCUGGCGUGCCAGCAGCUCCUGGAACAGCCGCCGCUCCAGCUGGAACAGCAUCGGCCGGGCCCCCAGCCUCAAGCGCCGGGGACAGAGCGGCGAGCGCCGGUCGCUCCUGUCGGGGGAAGGCAACGAGAGCUCGGAGGAAGGGGACAGCUCGGAUGAGGAGCACUCCAGCCGGGCCGGCAGCUUCAAUGGCUCUUUGCCUCACCGCAUGGAGUCUCUGGAAACAAAAGGGUCCUUUGACCUGCAGGAUACUUUGCAGGUGCCUUCCCUGCACCGCACCAGCAGCAUGCACAGCACCAGGACGUCUGUCUCCGAGCACCAGGACUGCAAUGGCAGGAGCUCCCCGGGUCUGCUGCUGCGCCAGCUCCACCUGGAUGAGCCCCACCAGGAUGGGGAUGACGGCGAUGAUGAAGGCAACAUGAGCAAAAGGGACCGCAUGAAGGCCUGGGUGCAGGCCCGGCUCCCCACCUGCUGCAAAGAGAGGGACUCCUGGUCCAUCUACAUCUUCCCCCCUCACUCCAGAUUCCGUCUGAUGUGCAAUAAAAUCAUCACUCACAAGAUGUUUGAUCACGUUGUCUUGGUGAUCAUUUUCCUGAACUGCAUCACCAUUGCCAUGGAACGACCCAAAAUUGAGCCUCACAGCGCUGAACGGAUCUUCCUAACUCUCUCCAACUACAUCUUUACAGUAAUCUUCCUGACUGAGAUGACAGUUAAGGUGGUGGCACUAGGCUUGUGUUUUGGGGACAAAGCCUACUUGAAGAGCAGCUGGAAUGUGCUGGAUGGGGUGCUGGUGCUCAUCUCCGUCAUCGACAUCCUGGUCUCGAUGGUGUCGGACAGCGGCACAAAAAUCCUGGGGAUGCUGCGGGUUCUGAGGCUGCUGAGGACUCUGCGGCCCUUGAGAGUCAUUAGUCGAGCCCAAGGACUGAAGCUGGUGGUGGAGACUCUCAUGUCAUCCUUGAAACCCAUUGGGAACAUUGUGGUCAUCUGCUGUGCCUUUUUCAUAAUCUUUGGGAUCUUGGGAGUUCAGCUUUUCAAAGGCAAGUUUUUUGUCUGCCAGGGGGAGGACACCAGAAACAUCACAAAUAAAUCGGAUUGUACAGAAGCAAGCUACAAAUGGGUCCGGCACAAGUAUAAUUUUGAUAAUCUCGGACAGGCCCUGAUGUCUCUCUUUGUCCUGGCCUCCAAGGAUGGGUGGGUGGAUAUCAUGUACGAUGGCUUGGAUGCUGUGGGAGUCGACCAGCAGCCAGUCAUGAACUACAAUCCAUGGAUGCUACUCUACUUCAUUUCCUUCUUGCUGAUUGUGGCCUUCUUCGUCCUCAAUAUGUUUGUGGGAGUGGUGGUGGAGAAUUUCCACAAGUGUCGGCAGCACCAGGAGGAGGAAGAAGCCAAGAGGCGGGAGGAGAAGAGGCUCCGCCGGCUGGAGAAAAAGAGAAGGAGUAAGGAGAAACAGAUGGCUGAUCUAAUGCUGGAUGAUGUAUUAAUGGAGAGCUCAGCCAGUGCAGUGCAAGAAGCUCAGUGUAAGCCCUACUACUCGGAUUACUCCCGUUUCCGCCUCCUGAUCCACCAGAUGUGCACCAGCCACUACCUGGAUCUGUUCAUCACCGGCGUCAUCGGCCUCAACGUCAUCACCAUGGCCAUGGAGCACUACCAGCAGCCAAAGGUUCUUGACGAAGCCCUGAAGAUUUGCAAUUACAUCUUCACCAUUAUUUUUGUCCUGGAAUCUGUUUUCAAGCUUAUUGCCUUCGGGUUUCGCCGCUUCUUCCAAGACAGAUGGAACCAAUUAGAUCUGGCAAUUGUGCUGCUGUCUAUCAUGGGCAUCACUUUGGAAGAGAUCGAGGUGAACGCUUCACUGCCAAUUAACCCCACCAUUAUCCGGAUCAUGAGGGUUCUCAGGAUUGCUCGAGUGCUGAAGUUGCUGAAGAUGGCUGUGGGGAUGAGGGCCCUCCUGGACACUGUGAUGCAAGCACUGCCGCAGGUGGGGAAUCUGGGCCUUCUCUUCAUGUUGUUGUUUUUCAUAUUUGCAGCUCUUGGAGUGGAGUUGUUUGGUGACCUCGAGUGUGAUGACACACACCCCUGCGAGGGGCUGGGACGGCAUGCCACAUUCAGGAACUUUGGGAUGGCCUUCCUGACCCUCUUCCGAGUGUCCACAGGAGACAACUGGAAUGGGAUAAUGAAGGACACGUUGCGUGACUGUGACCAGGAGUCCACCUGUUACAACACCGUCAUUUCCCCCAUCUACUUCGUCUCCUUCGUGCUCACAGCCCAGUUUGUCCUGGUGAACGUGGUGAUCGCUGUGCUCAUGAAGCACUUGGAGGAGAGCAACAAGGAGGCAAAGGAGGAGGCAGAGCUCGAAGCAGAACUGGAGAUGGAGAUGAAGACCAUCAUCCCCAGCCAGCACAGCCCCUCAGACAUCUUUGCGUGGACAGGCACCACCAGUGGAGAGAGACCCGAGAGCCCCCACAGAUUCACCAAUCCCAUGCAAAUCAAGGUGGAUUCUCAGCUCUCACUAGCUUAUCAUAUGGAAAGGCACUUGUUUGAUACCAUAUCACUGCUGAUCCAGGAAUCUCUGGAAGGAGAGCUGAAGCUGAUGGACAACCUGUCAGGCUCUGUGUGCCAUCAUUAUGCCCUCCCAGCUCCCGAAUAUUACAACUCUGAGAACCAGAUCCCUCUAGCUGAGAUGGAGGCUCUGUCUCUGACGUCAGAUAUUCUCUCUGAAAAGUCCUGGUCCUUAGCUCUGACGGAUGACUCUUUUGCUGAUGACAUUAACACACACUUACUUAAUGCUCUGGAAAGCAAUGCUGAUCUCCGCUCCAAGGAUGACACACUGACCCUGUCCCCCAGCAAGGACCUGCUGAGUGUGAGGAAGCCCUCGGUGGGACGCACCCACUCCUUGCCAAACGACAGCUACAUGUUCCAGCCGCCCUACUCCAGCCCCUGCCCUGCUUCCCUGGGUGACAGGAAGCCAGCACAUCACAAAUCCCAAUCAGGUUCAAAGGCAUCGGUGCAGUCACAGCCAGCAGACACCAGCUCCCUCCUACAAAUCCCAAAGGAACAUUUCCACCAUGUAAGAGCUCAUGACCAUUUGGUGGGGGACAGCAAGCCCCGGGUCUCCCAGCAGGCACACUCCCCUUCUGCUGAAAGGCUGCUCCGCAGACAGUGCUUGAAAGGACACAAGGAUUGCAGGCUCCAUCCCAGGCCACCCCUCCUCUGACUCCUCUGUUUUCCCAAAAGAGGAGAAGUGUUUCAUGGAAAUUGGUUAUCUCAUAUGCAAAACCAUCAUGGGAAACAUACUGGUUUUUCAGUGAGAAUUGAAAAUUAAAAUAUUUUUCCAUCAGCUGUGAGGUUUUAAAAAGUUUGAGUGUAUGCAGAGCAGAACAUGUUUUAUUUUGCAGCCAGUUUUAUCUCUGGUUUUUGCCUGGCAUUGAUUUAAAUCCUGAUUCAAUCAAAGAUCUAAGGGAUCUAAUCAAAGAUUCCAGUCUGGUUGAUUGGAAGCAUAAGUUUAGACUUAUCUUUUUUUAGUAAAAUACUUAAACUUGUGCUUCACUCUCACAUUUUUAAGCAUAUUUCAAUGAUUGUGCAGCUGGACCAGGACCAGAAGCACAUCUGAUUCAAAAUCUCUGCUUUAUUCAGUAUUUCCAUGCCUUAUUUUAUUUACACAAAGGGGAUCAGUUCUAUUUUUUUAAAAGUAAUUUCUUUCCCAUAUGAAAAUAUUCCCGUUUCUUUCAUCUUUUAAUCAACAUUGACAAAUUAGACAGUUGAUUCAUUAAGCUCUAAAAAUGGAUGUGAAGUACCAAGGUUAACAAUUACAUUAGUCUGUAAUACUAAAUUGACAUAAGAAAUUCCUUGCAUGUAUUCAUUUGCAUGGAGCUGGCCAGCUAUUCCAAUCACCACUAAUGGGGAAACUAAUUGAAGUCAUGAUUUCAGUUCAUAACCACUCUCUCUUGCUUUCUAAUGAAUAACAGACCCAUCCUUUUGAAGAGAUGUAGCCAGAAUAAAUUACUAUGUUAGCCAUCUUCUCCAGUGUGAUUUUGUUCACAUCUUUGAUGGCUUCUUUUUCUAGACCUUUUCAUACUUUUAAGCCAAUUUAUUGCCCUCCCACCCUCUCUCCCUGCUCAUGCAGGGACAUGAACAUGCUCUUGGAGUGACAGUUCAGAGAGCAAAGAGCUUUGUGAGCAGAUACAGUCCGUGGGCAAACCCACGAGGGGUUGCCUUGGGCAGGCUCCUGAGCAGCAAGGACCUCCCAGUCUUGCAAAUGGGAGCAGUCAGGUUGUUCUGGUGAUAUUGCUGUUACUGUUAAUUGCAAUCUAGAUGGCCAGACACUGGUAAACUUGGUCCUUUAAGAGGCAAAAUUCCCUUUACAGCCCCAGCACUUCUGCUUGCUCAGGUGCUCUCUGCUUGAUUCCAUUUUAUUGCUACCACUAAUUUCUCACUAGCACAUCAAAUAGCCCAAACUGGCAAAGCAGUUUGGUUUUCAGUACCCAUUUAUCCUUAUCAUUAUGUAUACUGCAUGGAACUCUGAUUUAGUUUCUUUUUUUCUUUUCCUUUUUCUUUUUCUUUCCUUUUCUUCCCUUUCCACUCAUGCCCUCUCCUCUCCUGAAUCCAUAAUAGAUAAACCUUAUCCAUCACAUACCUGGUCCUUGCACUUUCCCUGAGCAUUAAAACCUGUGUGUUUAACCUCCCUUUCCCUCCAGAGUGCUGGAGAGCGAGCACAGCCCCCACAGUAACGUCCAGUUUAGACUCCGGAAUGUUUGACCAUUAGCAAUGCACUCGCAGAGGAAGAUGAGUGGAUCGGAUGCUUUGGGAGAACAUUCCUGCUGAGGAUUACGCUCCUUGGCAGUGCAUGGCACAAAGGCUUUUCUCCAGAGGAAUUCUACCUGAAAUUAAACCUAUAUUGAUUUUGUAGUUCCAGGACUGUGUAUCCAAGGUGUAGCCCACACCAAGCUGUGGCUGCUACAGGUGUACACCCCUCUGGGAUGGCAGAGGGUCCUUUUAUUUUCAAACAAACCAGUAAAACAUUUGUACUGUUACUACUAACAACAACCACAGAUGCCUGUAUCAUAGGCAAAGAAAGAGCUGGUGGUGACAAAUACUGUCGUGGUGUGCAACACAGGUUGGUGUGCAAGCAAAAGUAAUGGCAACAAUUACUUUUUGCUUCUGUAUUCGACUUCCGUGUGGUCUGUGUCUCCUUUCAGGAUAUGAACGUGAUUUCUUCUCCCAAAUACUCAUUAAAACCACUGGUGCUGAGGAAACCAGAAUAACUUCACUCCUGACUGAUUAGUUGCCAGCGUUAUGCUGUGAAAUUUUAACUAGAAAGGAUUCACCAGCACUGGAUGAAAUUGUUUGCCGUAUUAAAUAUUCUCUGAGCUGUCCCCAUUGACAGAGGGAGUGCAAUGUGCAGAUGCUGCAAUAGACUCUGGUGUUUCUGUGCACACAUGGACACAUUGCUGCUGAUGAGAGCUUUGCUGAAUAGAGAUCAUUUGGCUCAAGUGAUCCUUGUGGGACAAUAUUUAUGUAACGUGUAUGAUCAUUUUGGGGUUGAUUUGUCACAAAAGUAUUCCUUAGCAUGAGGAAUUGAAUAAUUUCAUCUCCUUACACUUUUCUAAAGGAUUGGGACCAGCUCUACACAUUUCCUCCAAAUCCCCCUGUGAAGAUUUUUAUCUUUAAGAUCAUUUAAGAGUCUUCUCAAACAGAUACUCUGCCUUUAAAGGCCAUUUAAUGAGAUUGAUUUAUAAAGCCUUUUGACAAGGAAUGCAGUGUAGUGAAAAGGCAAAGCCUUCAAAACACGCCCAAGGUUCCCUCUGCCAGCGGGCACUGAUGCUGCGUAAGGCUCCAGACAGCCAAGGCAAAAUGUGCCUUAGGAAGCCUGAACUUGAGCAUCAGAAUGAAUUGAAAUAAUUACAGAUUAUUAUUAGUCCAGCUUUGGACUCCAGUAUUUCCAUCUCCUGCCAUACAAUGGUGCAAAGUCGUGGCUCCAGCCUGGGGACCCAAGCCAGGGACAGGCUGUUGCCUUGAUGCUGGCACACAGCGCGGUUGCUCUGGUGUUGCUGGCUCUGGGGAUAGAGUUUCAUGCCCUCAGCAUCACCUGAGCUACAGAAGGGAAUACACAGGCUCACUUGCACAUCUUUCUCUCCUGCUCACACCUGGGCUGCUGAAAUUAUUGAGAGCUUUGCUAUAGACCUUCAUCCUUUGCAUAACAUGAGUAAGUUUGGGUGGGGGUGCUCUGGUUUUGCAGCCAUCCAUCUUUAGAGGAGAAAGCUAAAGGUCAACCAUAGAAGAGUGAAGGGCUGUCACACAGAGACAAACCCACAAUUCCUGACAAUGGGAAUUGGUAGAACACACAACACAGGUUGUUAUAGGAAUCAAUGGGUCUGUUCUGAGGGAUCUCAGCAGAGCUGAGUGCCCUGUAAAUGCUGUGCCUUGCCUGUACUAACCUUUGUUUGGUCUGUCUCUCUUAUCUGGCAACUCCUCUCCUCCCCAACCCUUCUGCACUCUGGUACAGAUGGCUAUAAGGAACGACUCUCUGGAUAGCAAGGAGAAUCUCCACACCGAGGCACCAGCAUCCUGUGCUUGUGCAGACUCGUAUCAGGAGACCCCUGAAGAUUCAAUGGACCAAGAAGUGUCUGAAAUAAACAGCUCCUCAGAGCCUUUCACUUCAGAAACUUGCACAGCCUCGAGUGCCUGUUCAGAGGGUCAGCCUCUCACAUCUAAGAGGAACAUGGGCAAUACCGGCAACGUGGUACUGAAGGACCUGAAGAAAUACCACAGUGUAGACACCCAGGGUCUGCUAAAAAAACCACCCUCUUGGUUAGAUGAUCAAAGGAGACAUUCCAUAGAGAUUUGUUCCAUAGAAAACAGCCCUCAGCACCAUUCCACAUCCAGCUCCUCUGGCUUUAUAAGUCAGGUGGUCAGUGAAAUGGAGUGCUUGCAAGGUACGCGGCAGAAGAAGAAACUGAGCCCUCCCUGUAUAUCUAUAGAUCCACCUGA